rnacentral:lncRNA from 1 species
GCGAGGAAAGGCAGGGAGUGGGGCCAGGGACACGAUUAGGUCCGAUUUCCUUUUUUUGCGAGUUGGUUAGAUGGUUAGAUUAGCGUGAUUUGAGGGGCUGCGGAUGCGGGACGGAGAGUUUCAUAUUUUCCUCUUGUGGAGUAUGGUCAGUCUAUUGAAACUGCUAAGCGCACACCAGAUCUUGAAUAAAUUAAUGAUGACUGUUGGAUUGGGUCGUGUGGGCUUCAUCCUGUGGUGCUGAUGUAUCUGUGUACGUUUUGCGGGGUGCACGUAACAAAGUUCUUGUUUGAUUGUUUAAUAGUAGUGGAGAUGUAGUGGAGCAGCACACAUUAAGACGAGGGCAGUGUGGUGCAUUAAUCCUCACCUGUACCUAGUAAAUGUGAUGACACUAUAAUACCUCACUUUCCAACUUCAACGACGCUGGAUUGAGAGAGAUGGUGGUGCAAGCUUCAAAUGCAGUUAACAUUCCCAACCUGUGCCUAGUAAAUGAGGUCUGCUCCUAGUAAAUGAGUUGGGUCACGUUUGUCAAGCAUGUGGCCCCUUAUGCAUUGAUUGUUUUGUGGAAUACAGAUUCAAUACUGCAAGGAGGAAUAUUCAAUAUACGUGAUAUGCACUGCUUAUGGUAUGAAUACGAUACAAAUCUGAGACAAAUGGAUGGUGAGAUAAAGACUUCGCGUGGCGCCAUAUUCACCUAUGCAUUUUUGAUACAAUGACUACUAAUAAAUACUAAAUUGUUUACCUUUAGAAGUGUAAAAAAACAUAGAUUUAUAAUUGAAAACAAUAUCUUUAGGAUUUUCAUGAAAAUUAUUUGUAUUAUAUUAAUUUUGAUUAUUUUUUGUCUAAAAAAUAAUGGUCAAAGAUACACUACUAGAAAAUACCUUAUAGGUAGAUGCCAAGCAGUAGCGAUAGGUAAGUGACCGGCGUUGAUGUUAAGUAGUAGUAGCGUGGGUCAGUAACCCACACUACAGGCACAUGGUAGUAGUAGCGAGGGUGGCCACAACAAGCGCUGCGUCUAAGUGUGCCCCAAGAUACGCCAAGUCGAGCCAUAGUAGCAACGCGGGUCAUAUAACCCGCGCUACAAGUAACAUGCUAACUGUAGCGUGAGCCCUAUAGCCCACGUUGCCACUACUCUUACAUAGGCCAGCUGGUGGGCCCAAUUUAACAUCAGCGCCGGUUAAAGGCCCGCGCUACAACUUAGCAGUAGCGUGGUCCACGUACCCGCGCUACGGCUAAGCUCACCUUAUCCCCUACCUAAUCGUCCAUUUCCUAAUCUCUCAUCACUCUCACUCUCACUCUCUCGCACUCUCCUCUCUCCUCGGCGUCGCCGCCUCCCGCCGCCACCACCGCGGUCGGCCACCGACUCUCCCGCUCCUCCUCCACCGAGGUAGCUCCUCCCUCCUCCCUCCACCUCCCUCCCUCCCUCCUCCCUCCCUCCUCCCUCUAUUCUUCUAGAAUGUAGGUUUUUUAAUAGAAUAGUUUUUUUGAAUGGAAUAUAAUAUAGAAUGUAGAUUUUGAAUAGAGUAUAAAACUAGUAGAUUUUGAAUGGAAUACAAUAGAAUGUAGAUUUUUUUUAAUGGAAUAGAAAAUUUUCUGUAAAUGUACGUCUUUUGAAUAGAAUAGAAAAUUACUAAACGUAGGCCUUUUGAAUAGAGUAGAAAACUAGUAAAUGUAGGUCAUCAAAAUUAUGCUUGCCAAAUUUAGAGAGAGAGAUACUUUCAAUCUAGGUCAUCAAAGUUAUGUUUGCCAAAGUUUGUAUGAGGUCCUUUCAAUGUUGAUAUUUUGUGCUAUUUGGACAUGUGUAUGUGUAUGAACAUGUUGAUUCUGAAUUGAUGUGUAUGUGGUACCAAAGAUGGCCACAUAUGUCUCUUUCUAUUGCAGGGAAACUCUGAAUGGCCCAUAUUUUGCCGGAAUGUUGAUUCAUUUCCGUUCCGGCAAAUUUUAGGUGCUCGAUACGUCCUGUUUUUGGCAAAGGUCAUACCGAUUUGUUUUGUGGAUUUCAGCAAGACUUGUGCUAUAAAUUAGGAAAUAUCAAGUGCCCGUGAUUUGCGGGAAUAGUAAUUAAAUGAUAUUCCGGCUAAACAUAGGCCAUUUUUUAUGUCAUUGCUCGAUAUAUGUAACGAGUUGACUUUCAGUCUAUUGGGGCUCCUUGUGUGACGGUCGAUAUAUGAGAGGGGAAGAAUUCCGCCUGUCGUCGUGGGGGUCGCUUCUCCUUCUUGUUUUUUUGCUAGACCUUCUUAAUGCACUAGGGAAGGAGGAGUAGCAACCAUCACCGACGGUCGAAAAAUCAGUAAGGCGGAGUCCAUCAUAUAUGAGAGAGGAAGAAUCCCGACUGUUGUCGUGGGGAUCACUUCUCCUUGUUCUCCUUGUGCUAGAUCUUUGUAAUGCACUAGGGGAAGGAGGAGUAGUGACCAUCACCGAUGGUCGAUAUAUGAGAGAGGAAGAAUCCCAACCAUUGUCGUCGGGGUGUCUUCUCCUCCGUUCCCGUGUGCUAGACAUUUUGGUGUAAUGCAGUCGGGAACGAAGGGAGGAGUGACCAUCACCAAUGGUCGAAUAUAUGAGAGAGGGAGUACCCACCAUAUACACCAAGUGAGAUGUGAGUUUUCAAGGAAGACUCGACAGACCGAAAGUUAACGCGUGCUGAAUAGUGAUCUGUGUGUCUACUUCCUGGUAAUUGUUAUCAAUUUUUAAUCUUUGAAUCAUGAACACAAGACAUGUCUUAGAUGAUAGGAUCCCUGAGUGCGAUUACUGCAGCGACAACCAGGGUAUAUGUGCGACAUGCCUCACCUGGAAAAUGAUAGGUUCUUCCCCAUCAAGCUAGAUGAGACCUUCAAAGUUUUUACGGUCCGUACUGAUGAUAAGUAUUUUUUUCAUAAUGAAGCAUUACUUGUGCUUUUUUUUGCUUCAAUGCAUAAUUUCCAUUUUUUACAAUUUGAGUAGUGCAUCCCCUACCAUGCAAGACGGUAUGUCUUAGUGAAGCUCAGUUUUGAAGAUAGUAAAAAUAUGGAGACGGAGAUAUCUCACCUUAGGACAUCCUCGAUCUUUUAAUUGGUAUUAGAGCCUCCUCUCUCUUUGUCUGGCUUAACCGCCUAGAGAGUAAGGAUGUCGACUAGGGGAAUAGGAUUCUCUGACACUCUUAGUUUUGAUGGCACAAAGUUUGAUGUUUGGGUUAUUCGCAUGCUUAAUCAUUUUUGGGCCAUUGACCCGUGUUUAGAGUGAAUUUUAGAUAUGUGGGUUUCUCCUCUGAAGGAUCCUCAAAGAUUAUCUAUAGAGGGUGAGAAAAACUCUUAUGUUAAUGCUCAAGCUGCUAAUGUGCUUUUUGAUGCUUUGAGCAACGUAGUUAUAUUUCAACUCAUGUCGUUUCGGGAUGCUCUUGAGUUGUGGACUAAGCUUAAAGAUAAAUAUGGUGUUUCCAAGAUUUGUGAGGAUAAUUUUCCUCCCUCCACCUCCGGUCAUAUAGUGUUCUCAACUUCUUAUACUUCACCUACAUGUGGCUUGCCACAAGGUAAUAACAUGGUGAGUGGUGGUGUUCAUUGCAAUGAUGAUAGUGGGCUUAUUGUUGAUUAUCCUUCAUCACUUUCUUAUUGCAAUGCUUCAUCUUUGGACUUUAGCAGUUUGAGCACUCCAAAUGUUUCACAUGCUUGUGUUGAGAGUCCGUGCAUAUCAUGUAGAAAUUCUUGACUAAAUAUCAUGAUGAUAUGCUUGCUAUAUCUUGUUGCCAUGAUAAAAAUGCAUGUAUUUCCUCGAGUUGUUGUGCUAACUGAUACGUCCAUUUUGCAUCAUGCUUUUAUAUCGAUACUUAUUGCAUUAUGGGCUGUUAUUACACAUUAUGUCACAAUACUUCUGCCUAUUCUCUCUUAGUUUACAAGGUUUACAUGAAGAGGGAGAAUGCCGGCAGCUGUGAUUCUGGGCUGGAAAAGGAGCAAAUAUUGGAGACAUAUUCUGCACAGCUCCAAAAGUCCUGAAACUCCACGAAAGUCAUUUUUGGAAUUAAUGAUAAAUAUUGAGUGGAAGAAGUACCAGAGGGGGCACACACCCUGGCCACGAGGGUGGGGGCGCGCCCCCUGCCUCGUGGGCCCCCUGGCAGCCCUCCAGUGGCCAUCUUCUGCUAUAUGAAGGCUUUUACCCUGGAAAAAAUCAUAAGCAAGCUUAUGGGACGAAACCCGCUGCCACGAGGCGGAACCAAUCUAGGGCUCCGGCGGAGCUGUUCUGCCGGGGAAACUUCCCUCCGGCAGUGGGAAAUCAUCACCAUCGUCAUCACCAACGAUCCUCUCAUCGGGAGGGGGUCAAUAUCCAUCAACAUCUUCACCAACACCAUCUCCUCUCAAACCCUUGUUCAUCUCUUGUAUCCAAUCUUUGUAGCAAAACCUCAGUUUGGUACUUGUGGGUUGCUAGUAGUGUUGAUUACUCCUUGUAGUUGAUGCUAGUUGGUUUAUUUGGUAGAAGAUCAUAUGUUCAGAUCCUUAACGCAUAUUAAUACCCCUCUGAUUAUGAACAUGAAUAUGCUUUGUGAGUAGUUACGUUUGUUCCGGAGGACAUGGGAGAAGUCUUGCUAUUAGUAGUCAUGUGAAUUUGGUAUUCGUUCGAUAUUUUGAUGAGAUGUAUGUUGUCUCUCCUCUAGUGGUGUUAUGUGAACGUCAACUACAUGACACUUCACCAUUAUUUGGGCCUAGAGGAAGGCAUUGGGAAGUAAUAAGUAGCUGAUGGGUUGCUAGAGUGACAAAAGCUUAAACCCUAGUUUAUGAGUUGUUUCGUAAGGGGCUGAUUUGGAUCCAUAUGUUUCAUGCUAUGGUUAGGUUUACCUUAAUACUUCUUUUGUAGUUGUGGAUGCUUGCAAUAGGGGUUAAUCAUAAGUGGGAUGCUUGUCCAAGAAAGGGCAGUACCCAAGCACCGGUCCAUCCACAUAUCAAAUUAUCAAAGUAACGAACACGAAUCAUAUGAGCAUGAUGAAAACUAGCUUGACGAUAAUUCCCAUGUGUCCUCGGGAGCGCUUUUUGUUGGGGAACGUAGCAGAAAUUCAAAAAUUUCCUACGAAUCACCAAGAUCUAUCUAUGGAGAGACCAGCAAUGAGUAGAAAGGAGAGUGCAUCUACAUACCCUUGUAGAUCGCUAAGCGGAAGCGUUCAAGUGAACGGGGUUGAUGGAGUCGUACUCGUCGUGAUUCAGAUCACCGAUGAUCCUAGUGCCGAACGGACGGCACCUCCGCGUUCAACACACGUACAGCUCGACGAUGUCUCCCAUGCCUUGAUCCAGCAAGGAGAGAGGGAGAGGUUGAGGAAGACUCCAUCCAGCAGCAGCACAACGGCGUGGUGGUGAUGGAGGAGCGUGGCAAUCCUGCAGGGCUUCGCCAAGCACCUACGGGAGAGGAGGAGGUGUCACGGGAGGAAGGGAGGCGCCAAGGGCUCAGGUAUGGAUGCCCUCCCUCCCCUCCACUAUAUAUAGGGGCAGGGGAGAGGGGGGAGGCGCAGCCUUGCCCCCUACUCCAAGAAAGGGGUGCGGCCAAGAGGGGGGGAGGAGUCCAUCCUCCCCAAGGCACCUCGGAGGUGCCUUCCCCCUUGAGGACUCUUCCCUCUAGGGUUCCCUAGGCGCAUGGGCCUCUUGGGGCUGGUGCCCUUGGCCCAUGUAGGCCAAGGCACACCCCCUACAGCCCAUGUGGCCCCCCCGGGCAGGUGGCCCCACCCGGUGGGCCCCCGGGACCCUUCCGGUGGUCCCGGUACAAUACCGAUGACCCCGAAACUUGUCCCGAUGGCCGAAACAGGACUUCCUAUAUAUAAAUCUUUACCUCCGGACCAUUCCGGAACUCCUCGUGACGUCCGGGAUCUCAUCCGGGACUCCGAACAACAUUCGGUAACCACAUACAAACUUCCUUUAUAACCCUAGCGUCAUCGAACCUUAAGUGUGUAGACCCUACGGGUUCGGGAGACAUGUAGUCAUGACCGAGAUGUUCUCCGGUCAAUAACCAACAGCGGGAUCUGGAUACCCAUGUUGGCUCCCACAUGUUCCACGAUGAUCUCAUCGGAUGAACCACGAUGUCAAGGACUCAAUCAAUCCCGUAUACAAUUCCCUUUGUCUAGUGGUAUGGUACUUGCCCGAGAUUCGAUCGUCGGUAUACCGAUACCUUGUUCAAUCUCGUUACCGGCAAGUCUCUUUACUCGUUCCGUAACACAUCAUCCCGUGAUCAACCCCUUGGUCACAUUGUGCACAUUAUGAUGAUGUCCUACCGAGUGGGCCCAGAGAUACCUCUCCGUUUACACGGAGUGACAAAAUCCCAAUCUCGAUUCGUGCCAACCCAACAGACACUUUCAGAGAUACCCGUAGUGUACCUUUAUAGCCACCCAGUUACGUUGUGACGUUUGGCACACCCAAAGCACUCCUACGGUAUCCGGGAGUUGCACAAUCUCAUGGUCUAAGGAAAUGAUACUUGACAUUAGAAAAGCUUUAGCAUACGAACUACUUGAUCUUGUGCUAGGCUUAGGAUUGGGUCUUGUCCAUCACAUCAUUCUCCUAAUGAUGUGAUCCCGUUAUCAACGACAUCCAAUGUCCAUGGUCAGGAAACCGUAACCAUCUAUUGAUUAACGAGCUAGUCAACUAGAGGCUUACUAGGGACAUGGUGUUGUCUAUGUAUCCACACAUGUAUCUGAGUUUCCUAUCAAUACAAUUCUAGCAUGGAUAAUAAACGAUUAUCAUGAACAAGGAAAUAUAAUAAUAAUCAAUUUAUUAUUGCCUCUAGGGCAUAUUUCCAACAGUCUCCCACUUGCACUAGAGUCAAUAAUCUAGUUCACAUCGAUAUGUGAUUAACACUCAAGGUCACAUCCCCAUGUGACUAACACCCAAAGAGUUUACUAGAGUCAAUAAUCUAGUUCACAUUUACCAUGUGAUUAACACUCGAUGAGUUCUGGGUUUGAUCAUGUUAUGCUUGUGAGAGAGGUUAUAGUCAACGGGUCUGAACCUUUCAGAUCCAUGUGUGCUUUACAAAUCUCUAUGUCAUCUCCUAGAUGCAGCUACCACGUUCUAUUUGGAGCUAUUCCAAAUAACUGUUCUACUUGGAGCUAUUCUAAAUUGUUGCUCCAUUAUACGUAUCCGGUAUCUCUACUCAGAGCUAUCCGGAUAGGUGUUAAGCUCGCAUCGACGUAACCCUUUACGACGAACUCUUUUACCACCUCCAUAAUUGAGAAAAUUCCUUAGUCCACUAGUUACUAAGGAUAACUUUGACCGCUGUCCUGUGAUCCAUUCUUGGAUCACUCUUGUACCCCUUGACUGACUCAUGGUAAAGCACACUUCAGGUGCGGUACACAGCAUAGCAUACUGUAGAGCCUAUGUCUUAAGCAUAGGGGACGACCUUCGUUCUUUUCUCUCUAUUCUGCCAUGGUCGAGCUUUAAGUCUUAACUUCAUACCUUACAACUCAGGCAAGAACUCCUUCUUUGACUGAUCCAUCUUGAACACCUUCAAGAUCACGUCAAGGCAUGUGCUCAUUUGAAAGUACUAUUAAGCGUUUUGAUCUAUCCUUAUAGAUCUUGAUGCUCAAUGUUCAAGUAGCUUAAUCCAGGUUUUCCAUUGAAAACACUUUCCAAAUAACCCUAUAUGCUUUCCAGAAAUCCUACGUCAUUUCCGAUCAACAAUAUGUUAACAACAUAUACUCAUCAGAAAUUCUAUAGUGCUCCCACUCACUUCUUUGGAAAUACAAGUUUCUCAUAAACUUUGUAUACACCCAAAAUCUUUGAUCAUCAUCAAAGCAUACAUUCCAACUCCGAGAUGCUCACUCCAGUCCUCAGAAGGAUUGCUGGAGCUUUGCAUACUUAUUAGCAUAUUUCAGGAUAGACAAAACCUUCCGGUUGUAUCACAUACAACCUUUCCUCAAAAAUCAUCGAGGAAACAAUGUUUUGACAUCCUAUCUGCAAGAUUUCAUAAAUAAUGCAGUAAUUGCUAAUAUAAUUCCAAUAGACUCUUAGCAUCGCUACGAGUGAGAAAGUCUCAUCGUAGUCAACUCCUUGAACUUGUCGAAAAACAUCUUAACGACAAGUCGAGCUUUCUCAAUGGUGACACUUACCAUCAUUGUUUGUCUUCCUUUCAAAAUCCAUAUGUACCUAACAGCCUUACGACCAUCAAGUAGUUCUUCCAAAGUCUACACUUUGUUUUCAUACAUGGAUCCUCUCUCGGGUUUUAUGGCCUUGAGCGAUUUAUCGGAAUCCGGGCCCACCAUCGCUUCUCCAUAGCUCGUAGGUUCAUUGUUGUCUAGCAACAUGACUUCCAAGACAGGAUUACGUACCAUUCUGAAGCAGUACGCACCCUUGUCAUCCCACGAGGUUUGGUAGUGACUCGAUCCGAAGUUUCAUGAUCACUAUCAUAAGCUUCCACUUCAGUUGGUGUACGUGCCACAGGAACAACUUCCUGUGCCCUGCUACACACUUGUUGAAGUGACGGUUCAAUAACCUCAUCAAGUCUCCACCAUCCACCCACUCAAUUUUUCGAGAGAAACUUUUCCUCGAAAAAGGACCCGAUUCAAGAAACAAUUCAUAUUGCCUUUGGAUCUGAAUUAGGAGGUAUACCCAACUGUUUUGGGUGUCCUAUGAAGAUGUACUUUAUCCGCUUUGGGUUCGAGCUUAAUCCUGAAACUUUUUCACAUAAGCGUCGCAACCCCAAACCUUUCAAGAAACGACAACUUAGGUUUCUCUAAACCGUAAUUCAUACGGUGUCAUCUCAACGGAAUUACGUGGUGCCCUAUUUAAAGUGAAUGUGGUUGUCUUUAAUGCCUAACCCAUAAACUAUCGUGGCAGUUCGAUAAGAGACAUCAUGGUAUGCAUCAUAUCCAAUAGGGUGCAACUAUGAUGUUCGGACACACCAUCAUACUAUGGUGUUCCAGGCUGUAUCAGUUGUGAAACAAUUUCCACAAUGUCUUAAUUGUGUGCCAAAACUCGUAACUCAGAUACUCAUCUCUAUGAUCAUAUCAUAGACAUUUUAUCCUCUUGUCACAAUGAUCUUUCAACUUCACACUGAAAUUACUUGAACCUUUCAAUAAUUUAGACUCGUGAUUCAUCAAGUAAAUAUACUCAACAUCUACUCAAAUCAUCUGUGAAGUAAGAACAUAACGAUAUUCACUGCAUGCCUCAGCACUCAUUGGACUGCACACAUCAAAAUGUGUUACUUCCAACAAGUUGCCAUCUUGUUCCAUCUUACUGAAAACGAGGCUUUUCAGUCAUCUUGCCCAUGUGGUAUGAUUUGCAUGUCCCAAGUGAUUCAAAAUCAAGUGAGUCAAAAUGGUCCAUUUGCAUGGAGUUUCUUCAUGCAUAUACACCAAUAGACAUGGUUCGCAUGUCUCAAACUUUUCAAAAACGAGUGAGCCCAAAGAUCCAUCAAUAUGGAGCUUCUUCAUGCGUUUUAUACCGAUAUGACUUACGUGGCAGUGCCACAAGUAGGUGGUACUAUCAUUACUAUCUUUUGGCAUGAACAUGUGUAUCACUACGAUCGAGAUUUAAUAAACCAUUCAUUUUAGGUGUAAGACCAUUGAAGGUAUUAUUCAAAUAAACAGAGUAACCAUUAUUCUCCUUAAAUGAAUAACCGUAUUGCGAUAGACGUAAUCCAAUCAUGUCUACGCUCAACGCAAACACCAAAUAACAAUUAUUUAGGUUUAACACCAAUCUCUUUGGUAGAGGGAGCGUGCGAUGCUUGAUCAUAUCAAGCUUGGAAAAACUUCCAACACAUAUCGUCAGCUCACCUUUAGCUAGUCUCCGUUUAUUCCGUAGCCUUUUGUUUCGAGUUACUAACACUUAGCAACCGAACCGGUAUCUAAUACCCUGGUGCUACUAGGAGUACUAGUACACAUUAACACAAUGUAUAUCCAAUAUACUUCUAUCGACCUUGCCAGCCUUCUUAUCUACCAAGUAUCUAGGGUAAUUCUACUCUAGUGGUUGUUCCCCUUAUUACAGAAGCACUUAGUCUCGGGUUUGGGUUUUACCUUGGAUUUCUUCACUAGAGUAGCAGCUGAUUUGCCGUUUCAUGAAGUAUCCCUUCUUGCCCUUGCCCUUCUUGAAACUAGUGGUUUCACCAACCAUCAACAAUUGAUGCUCCUUCUUGAUUUCUACUUUCGCGGUGUCAAACAUCGCGAAUACCUCAAGGAUCAUCAUAUCUAUCCCUGAUAUGUUAUAGUUCAUCACGAAGCUCUAACAGCUUGGUGGCAAUGACUUUGGAGAACCAUCACUGUCUUAUCUGGAAGAUCAACUCCCACUCGAUUCAAAUGAUUGUUGUACUCAGACAAUCUGAGCACAAGCUCAACAAUUGAGCUUUUCUCCUUAGUUUGCAGGUUAAGAAAGUCAUCGGAGGUCUUAUACCUCUUGACGUGGGCACGAGCCUGAAAUCCCAAUUUCAGCCCUCAAAACAUCUCAUAUGUUUUGCGACGUUUCAAAAAUGUCUUUGGUGCCUCAACUCUAAACCGUCUAACUGAACUAUCACGUAGUUAUCAAAACGUGUAUGUCAGAUGUUCGCAACAACCACAGACAACGUUCGAGGUUCAGCACACUGAGCGGUGCAUUAAGGACAUAAGCCUUCUAUGAAGCAAUGAGGACAAUCCUCAUUUUACGGACCUAGUCCGCAUAAUUGCUACUAUCAACUUUCAACUAAUUUUUCUCUAGGAACAUAUCUAAACAGUAGAACUAUAGCGUGAGCUACGACAUAAUUUGCAAAAACCUUUUGACUAUGUUCAGGAUAAUUAAGUUCAUCUUAUGAACUCCCACUCAGAUAGACAUCCCUCUAGUCAUCUAAGUGAUUACAUGAUCCGAGUCAAACUAGGCCGUGUCCGAUCAUCACAUGAGACGGACUAGUCAUCAUCGGUGAACAUCUUCAUGUUGAUCGUAUCUUCUAUACGACUCAUGUUCGACCUUUCGGUCUCCGUGUUCCGAGGCCAUGUCUGUACAUGCUAGGCUCGUCAAGUUAACCCUAAGUGUUUUGCAUGUGUUCCGAGGCCAUGUCUGUACAUGCUAGGCUCGUCAACACCCGUUGUAUUUGAACGUCUGAAUAAAACACCCGAUCAUCACGUGAUGUUUUGAAACAGCGAACUGUCGCAACGGUGCACAGUUAGGGGAGAACACUUCUUGAAAUUGUUGUAAGGGAUCAUCUUAUUUACUACCGUCGUUCUAAGCAAAUAAGAUGUAUAAACAUGAUAAACAUCACAUGCAAUCAAAUAGUGACAUGAUAUGGCCAUCAUCACUUUGCUCCUUUUGAUCUCCAUCUUCGGGGCUCCAUGAUCAUCAUCGUCACCGGCAUGACACCAUGAUCUCCAUCAUCAUGAUCUCCAUCAUCGUGUCUUCAUGAAGUUGCCUCGCCAACUAUUACUUCUACUACUAUGGCUAGGUUACUACUACUAUUAGUUUCAUGCUAUGGUUAGGUUUACCUUAAUACUUCUUUUGUAGUUGUGGAUGCUUGCAAUAGGGGUUAAUCAUAAGUGGGAUGCUUGUCCAAGAAAGGGCAGUACCCAAGCACCGGUCCAUCCACAUAUCAAAUUAUCAAAGUAACGAACACGAAUCAUAUGAGCAUGAUGAAAACUAGCUUGACGAUAAUUCCCAUGUGUCCUCGGGAGCACUUUUUGUUGGGGAACGUAGCAGAAAUUCAAAAAAUUUCCUACGAAUCACCAAGAUCUAUCUAUGGAGAGACCAGCAACGAGUAGAAAGGAGAGUGCAUCUACAUACCCUUGUAGAUCGCUAAGCGGAAGCGUUCAAGUGAACGGGGUUGAUGGAGUCGUACUCGUCGUGAUUCAGAUCACCGAUGAUCCUAGUGCCGAACGGACGGCACCUCCGCGUUCAACACACGUACAGCUCGACGAUGUCUCCCACGCCUUGAUCCAGCAAGGAGAGAGGGAGAGGUUGAGGAAGACUCCAUCCAGCAGCAGCACAACGGCGUGGUGGUGAUGGAGGAGCGUGGCAAUCCUGCAGGGCUUCGCCAAGCACCUACGGGAGAGGAGGAGGUGUCACGGGAGGGAGGGAGGCGCCAAGGGCUCAGGUAUGGAUGCCCUCCCUCCCCUCCACUAUAUAUAGGGGCAAGGGAGAAGGGGGAGGAGCAGCCUUGCCCCUUACUCCAAGAAAGGGGUGCGGCCAAGAAGGGGGGAGGAGUCCAUCCUCCCUAAGGCACCUCGGAGGUGCCUUCCCCCUUUAGGACUCUCCCCUUUUUCCUAUAUCUUGGCGCAUGGGCCUCUAGGGGCUGGUGCCCUUGGCCCAUGUAGGCCAAGGCGCACCCCCUACAGCCCAUGUGCCCCCCCGGGGCAGGUGGCCCCACCCGGUGGGCCCCCGGGACCCUUCCGGUGGUCCCGAUACAAUACCGAUGACCCCGAAACUUGUCCCGAUGGCCGAAACAGGACUUCCUAUAUAUAAAUCUUUACCUCCGGACCAUUCCGGAACUCCUCGUGACGUCCGGGAUCUCAUCCGGGACUCCGAACAACAUUCGGUAACCACAUACAAGCUUCCUUUAUAACCCUAGCGUCAUCGAACCUUAAGUGUGUAGACCCUACGGGUUCGGGAGACAUGCAGACAUGACCGAGAUGUUCUCCGGUCAAUAACCAACAGCGGGAUCUGGAUACCCAUGUUGGCUCCCACAUGUUCCACGAUGAUCUCAUCGGAUGAACCACGAUGUCAAGGACUCAAUCGAUCCCGUAUACAAUUCCCUUUGUCUAGCGGUAUGGUACUUGCCCGAGAUUCGAUCGUCGAUAUACCGAUACCUUGUUUAAUCUCGUUACCGGCAAGUCUCUUUACUCGUUCCGUAACACAUCAUCCCGUGAUCAACCCCUUGGUCACAUUGUGCACAUUAUGAUGAUGUCCUACCGAGUGGGCCCAGAGAUACCUCUCCGUUUACACGGAGUGACAAAAUCCCAAUCUCGAUUCGUGCCAACCCAACAGACACUUUCAGAGAUACCCGUAGUGUACCUUUAUAGCCACCCAGUUACGUUGUGACGUUUGGCACACCCAAAGCACUCCUACGGUAUCCGGGAGUUGCACAAUCUCAUGGUCUAAGGAAAUGAUACUUGACAUUAGAAAAGCUUUAGCAUACGAACUACAUGAUCUUGUGCUAGGCUUAGGAUUGGGUCUUGUCCAUCACAUCAUUCUCCUAAUGAUGUGAUCCCGUUAUCAACGACAUCCAAUGUCCAUGGUCAGGAAACCGUAACCAUCUAUUGAUUAACGAGCUAGUCAACUAGAGGCUUACUAGGGACAUGGUGUUGUCUAUGUAUCCACACAUGUAUCUGAGUUUACUAUCAAUACAAUUCUAGCAUGGAUAAUAAACGAUUAUCAUGAACAAGGAAAUAUAAUAAUAAUCAAUUUAUUAUUGCCUCUAGGGCAUAUUUCCAACAGUCUCCCACUUGCACUAGAGUCAAUAAUCUAGUUCACAUCGAUAUGUGAUUAACACUCAAGGUCACAUCCCCAUGUGACUAACACCCAAAGAGUUUACUAGAGUCAAUAAUCUAGUUCACAUUUACCAUGUGAUUAACACUCGAUGAGUUCUGGGUUUGAUCAUGUUAUGCUUGUGAGAGAGGUUAUAGUCAAUGGGUCUGAACCUUUCAGAUCCGUGUGUGCUUUACAAAUCUCUAUGUCAUCUCCUAGAUGCAGCUACCAUGUUCUAUUUGGAGCUAUUCCAAAUAACUGUUCUACUUGGAGCUAUUCUAAAUUGUUGCUCCAUUAUACGUAUCCGGUAUCUCUACUCAGAGCUAUCCGGAUAGGUGUUAAGCUUGCAUCGACGUAACCCUUUACGACGAACUCUUUUACCACCUCCAUAAUUGAGAAAAUUCCUUAGUCCACUAGUUACUAAGGAUAACUUUGACCGCUGUCCUGUGAUCCAUUCUUGGAUCACUCUUGUACCCCUUGACUGACUCAUGGUAAAGCACACUUCAGGUGCGGUACACAGCAUAGCAUACUGUAGAGCCUAUGUCUUAAGCAUAGGGGACGACCUUCGUUCCUUUCUCUCUAUUCUGCCAUGGUCGAGCUUUAAGUCUUAACUUCAUACCUUACAACUCAGGCAAGAACUCCUUCUUUGACUGAUCCAUCUUGAACACCUUCAAGAUCACGUCAAGGCAUGUGCUCACGUCAAGAUCACGUCGGUAUACCGAUACCUUGUUCAAUCUCGUUACCGGCAAGUCUCUUUACUCGUUCCGUAACACAUCAUCCCGUGAUCAACCCCUUGGUCACAUUGUGCACAUUAUGAUGAUGUCCUACCGAGUGGGCCCAGAGAUACCUCUCCGUUUACACGGAGUGACAAAAUCCCAAUCUCGAUUCGUGCCAACCCAACAGACACUUUCAGAGAUACCCGUAGUGUACCUUUAUAGCCACCCAGUUACGUUGUGACGUUUGGCACACCCAAAGCACUCCUACGGUAUCCGGGAGUUGCACAAUCUCAUGGUCUAAGGAAAUGAUACUUGACAUUAGAAAAGCUUUAGCAUACGAACUACAUGAUCUUGUGCUAGGCUUAGGAUUGGGUCUUGUCCAUCACAUCAUUCUCCUAAUGAUGUGAUCCCGUUAUCAACGACAUCCAAUGUCCAUGGUCAGGAAACCGUAACCAUCUAUUGAUUAACGAGCUAGUCAACUAGAGGCUUACUAGGGACAUGGUGUUGUCUAUGUAUCCACACAUGUAUCUGAGUUUCCUAUCAAUACAAUUCUAGCAUGGAUAAUAAACGAUUAUCAUGAACAAGGAAAUAUAAUAAUAAUCAAUUUAUUAUUGCCUCUAGGGCAUAUUUCCAACACUUUUCUCUAUAUAAGAACUUGUCCAGGCUUUUCCUUUGCUACAAAAAGGAUUGGGCCACCUUGCUGCACUUUAUUUACUUUUAUUGCUUGCUACCCGUUACAAAUUACCUUAUCACAAAACUAUCUGUUACCGAUAAUUUUAGUGCUUGCAGAGAAUACCUUACUGAAAACCGCUUGUCAUUUCCUUCUGCUCCUCGUUCGGUUCGACACUCUUACUUAUUGAAAGGACUGUGAUAGAUCCCCUACACUUUUGGGUCAUCACUAACAAUGUAGAGGAAACCCAACACUCCAUGGAACAAGAUGUGGUCUUGAACGGUGCUUCAAGGGAUCCUACAUCGUCAUCUAUGCUUUUUGCCUAUGGCUAUGGUUUCAAAGGUAUCUCCUACUUUGAACCCCAAUAUGUCUCUUGAUGAUGAUGUUAAUGCUAAUAAUGAUGAGGAUAAUGAUGAAGAGAUUGAUAAUGUUGCCUCCUUAAAAAUUAAGGGGGAAAUGGUUUUUAAAGCUCUUCAUAAAAAUAAAAUUGCUCGUUCCAACCUCAUGGAAAUCAUGUCCAUUGCCAUUGAGGGCAAGAAAAAUUGAGGAGUUGGAAUCUCAUCUCGAGGAGCAUGAGGUCACCAUUGAGAAAAUGGAAGGUCAUGAGCGUGAUUACGCUAAUGAGAUUGCAUACCUCUCCCAAGCUCUUGAACUUGAACAAACCACUAAGGAAUCUCUUGAGGAGACUUUUGCUCUAGAAUUGUCUAGAGUGAAGGAAUCUCAUAAUAGAGCUCUUGAGGUGGCCAAUGAUUUUGAAACUAAAAAUGAGAAGCUUGAAGUUGUGCAUGAUAAACUCCUUGAGGACUUUGGGACCUCGAAAAUGGCUCAAGGGACAUUAAGAGUGAGCUCAUCAAACUCACUGAGUCUCAUGCUCAACUUAAAGCUUCAUAUUCAAAACAGCUUGCAAAAUUGCUUUCUCCUCUUGUUGUUAAUGAUGAUGCUAGUGCUACUAACUCUAUUUAUUGUGAAGCAGCCAUUUUGAAGGAGAAUGUUGAGCUAAGGGCUCAACUUGCGUUGCUAUCUAGCAAUUAUGGGAAAUUGGAAGAAAGUCAUGAAAAGAUCUCAAGCUCUUAUGAUGAUAUUAUAGUAUCCCAUAAUGUGCCAGCGGUAGCUCAUGAGGCUAUGAUGACUAAGGUAACAUCUAGUGAGCCUCAUGUGGAUACUAGCACUAUUUCAAGUCUAAAUACUAUAUUGCCAUGUGCUAGUCCUCGUAAUUCAUCCACUCAUAAUGUUGAUACAUCGUGUGAUGAAUUGCUUUCCUUGCCUUGUUGUUCUAACGAUGAAUCUUAUACUUCCUCUAGUACUUGUGUUGAUACUAACAAUGUAGAGGAAAUCAAAGAGCUCAAGGCCCAAGUCACUUCCUUGAAGAAAGACUUGGAAACGAGUCAUGGAGGGAAGUCCACACUCAACAAUAUCUCGAGUGUGCAAAAAUCCCCCAAUGACAAAGGUGGACUUGGAUUCAACUCCAAUAAGAAGAAGAAGUCCAAGAUGAACAAGAAAAAGGGCCAAAAACAAGUCAAGAAUUUGGCCAAGAAGAAGAAGGCCAUAAGUGACAAGCAACAAGGGAAGUGGCCACAAGUUCAUUCCCAUGCUCAACCUUAAGUUGAAGAAAUGCCUCUCCCCAAGAUGACUCAAGCUAAUUCUUCUCAAUUUGAUAAAUCAAGUGAGAAGAAAGUGAAGAGUAGACAUUGCUACCUAUGUCGUGAGAAAGGUCACAUAACUUCUUCAUGCACGAAUGGUACCUUAUCCAACCCUAUUCUAAUAGAUGAUGUCUAUUCUCUUGGGAAGGAUAAGGUUGGCAAUGUGUUUGCCAAGUUUGUUGGUACUCAAAGUGGUGUCAAUAAAAGAACCAUUUGGGUUGCCAAGCCUAUUGUGACUAACCUCUUAGUACCCAACUUAGUUGGGGACCAACUAGCUCAAACUUGAUCAAUAGGUGUUGUUGGAGGGCAUUGGAGACUUGGAUACGUCAUGAAGAAUUAAGGGGGCUUCAUCAUUCUUAUUGUCUGAAGCCAAGUCAAUUGGGUUAUCAAGUUUCUAUCUUAUAUCCAAUGUGCCUCCUUGCAGUAACUUGUACUUAAAUUGCUUACAUUGAAAGUUACUUGCCCCUUUCCAUGUUUUGGUUUUGUUCCUUGCAUGUAUUUGUAUAUGUUGUGUCUCCAAGUUGCUUAUCUUGAGUAAUCAAGUAUGUGUAUGUUGGUUUGCACAUCAUGUACAUGUGUGUCAUACGUUGAGCCCUUGUGCAUAUUGUUUGUAUUUAUUUGGCUCUUGUGAGAGAUUAAGGGAAUAUCCCAUUGAGGGGGAGUGAUGUGCCUUGUGCACCUCACAAUCCUAUAAAUGCGUGUACAUGAGGAAUACCAUCUAGUAUUGAUAUUACAAGUUUAUCUAGUAGCUAUGUGGUAUGUCUUAUCAUGAGAAAUUCAAAUUCUAAAUAGUCCAGUAAUUAUCUCUUGUUGGAUUAUUAUUGCCUCUUGUGCAGUUUCCUUUGGUAUCACAUUAUGGGGGACUAAUGUGCUAUGUGUAGAUUACAAGCCUAGUAAAUGUGUACAUUUGAGAUACUGUCACUGGUAACCCACAAGUGCAGGGGAUCGCAACAGUUUUCGAUAAGUAAGAGUGUCGAACCCAACGAGGAGCUAAAGGUAGAAUAAAUAUUCCCUCAAGUUCUAUCGACCACCGAUACAACUCUACGCACGCUUGACGUUCGCUUUACCUAGAACAAGUAUGAAACUAGGAGUACUUUGUAGGUGUUGUUGGAUAGCUUUGCAAGAUAAUAAAGAGCACGUAAAUAUAAACUAGGGCUGUUUAGAUAAAGAAGCAAUAAAGUAAGUAUUAGUAGAGAGCUUUUUGUCACGAGAAAGUUAUUUGUCCAAGGCAAACGAUAACUAGACCGGUAAUCACUAUUGCAAUUUUAUUUGAGGGAGAGGCAUAAGCUAACAUACUUCCUCUUCUUGGAUCAUAUGCACUUAUGAUUAGAACUCUAGCAAGCAUCCGCAACUACUAAAGAUCAUUAAGGUAAAACCCAACCAUAGCAUUAAAGUAUCAAGUCCUCUUUAUCCCAUACGCAAACAACCUACUUACUCGGGUCUGUGCUUCUGUUCACUCACGCCACCCACCAUAAGCAAAUCAUGAACAUAUUGCAAACUCUACAGCGGGAAUCCCUCACGCUUGCGCGACACGGAGAGCACCAUAGGACAGCACCAAUAAUAAAACAUGUAACUCAAACCAAUCACGAUCAUCAAUUAACCCAUAGGACAAAACAGAUCUACUCAAACAUCAUAGGAUAGCCAUACAUCAUUGGGAGAUAAUAUAUAGCGUUGAGCACCAUGUUUAAGUAGAGAUUACAGUGGGUAAGAGAGGGGUUACACCUCUGCAUAGAGGGGGGAAGAGUUCAUGAUGAAGGCGGGGAAGUUGUUGGUGAAGAUCGCGGUGAUGAUGAUGGCCCCCGGCGGCGUUCCUGCGCCACCAGAAGCAAGGGGGAGAGAGCCCCCUUCUUCUUCUUCUUCCUUGACCUUCUCCCUAGAUGGGAGAAGGGUUUCCCCUCUGGUUCUUGGCUCCCAUGGCAUGGGAGGGGCGAGAGCCCCUCCGAGAUUGGAUCUAUCUCUCUGUCUCUCUCUGUUUCUGCGUUCUCCCCUCUGCCUUUUCACCUUUUUGUAUGUUCUCCUCGAUGCAUUUCCAACACUCUCUUUUUCUACGUACACUUUUGAUUCCUCAGUAGGUAGGGACAACGUUCGAGAUCUCAUCCAACCGUCUAUUUCUCACUGAUUGGGAGAUUGGAUUGGAAUCCGAGGAGAACUGAUUGGAUGUCAUGGAACGAAUGGGGCACUACGUUGGUUACCCUCUGCUAUCCUAGCGGAGAUUUCUCUAUUUGUUGAAAGUGGAAAGGAGUCAUAUUUGAAUCAGAAAGUUGGGCUCAUUCACUCACACCUUUCUUUGAUUAUUGAUGACUUGGCUUCUUGCUCAAGUAAGCACCCGGCAUACCAAUUCAUUAUCCUUGGGGCUCGGCUCGCUCCUUCCUAUCUACGUUAUUCUUUCUUUUUUACUCUCGUAAUGACCUUCCGAAAGAAAUCAAGGUUACCAGGUGACAACUCUGAUUCUUCUUCCCUUAUAGAACCUUCCCGCAAGAAAUCAGUGGAAGUGGGUCCGCCCUUACAACUCAUCAAAUCUGCCUUCUUUUCUGUUCUGCGAUAUACAUAUUCUCAAGAUAUGGAGAUCCAUAACUCCGAUUGGAUUGAAACCUUCGCCCAGAUCUUUUUCCAGAAAUUAGCUUUCUUGCGGCCAAAGAAGGGCGUCAACCGCCUUACGAGUGGCCCAGGAGGGUGGGGAGCGCGCCUCCCUGUCUCGUGGCCACCUUGGGCACCGUUUCGCGUUGAUUCUUUCUCCGGAAAAUCCCAAAUAUUCCAAAAUAAUUCUCUGUCCGUUUUUAUCCCGUUUGGAUUCCGUUUGAUAUGGGUUUCCUGCGAAACAUAAAACUUGCAACAGACAGGAACUGACACUGGGCAUUGGAUCAAUAUGUUAGUCCCAACAAUAGUAUAAAAAGUUGCCAAAAGUAUAUGAAAGUUGAAUAAUAUUGGCAUGGAACAAUCAAAAAUUAUAGAUACGAUGGAGACGUAUCAGCAUCCCCAAGCUUAAUUCCUGCUCGUCCUCAAGUAGGUAAAUGAUAAAAAAGAUAAUUUUUGAUGUGGAAUGCUACCUAGCAUAAUCUUGAUCAUAUGUCUAAUCAUGGCAUGAAUAUUAAGACACGAGUGAUUCAAGGCAAUAGUCUAUCAUUUGACAUAGAAACAAUAAUACUUCAAGCCUACUAAUAAAGCAAUCAUGUCUUUUCAAAAUAACAUGGCCAAAGAAAGUUAUCCCUACAAAAUCAUAUAGUCUGGCUAUGCUCCAUCUUCACCACACAAAAUAUUCACAUCAUGCACAACCCCGAUGACAAGCCAAGCAAUUGGUUCAUACUUUUUAACGCGCUUCAGCUUUUUCAACCCUCACACAAUACAUGAGAGUAAGCCAUGGACAUAGCACUAUAGGUGGAAUAUAAUAUGAUGAUGGGGGUUAUGUGGAGAAGACAAAAAAGGAGAAAGUCUCACAUCGACGCGGCUAAUCAACGGGCUAUGGAGAUGCCCAUCAAUUGAUGUCAAUGCGAGGAGUAGGGAUUGCCAUGCAACAGAUGCACUAUAGCUAUAAGUGUAUGAAAGCUCAACAAAAGAAACUAAGUGGGUGUGCAUCCAACUUGCUUUCUCACGAAGACCUAGGGCAUUUUGAGGAAGCCCAUCGUUGGAAUAUACAAGCCAAGUUCUAUAAUGAAAAUUCCCACUAGUAUAUGAAAGUGACAACAUAAGAAACUCUCUAUAUGAAGAACAUGGUGCUACUUUGAAACACAAGUGUGGAAAAAGAGGAUAGUAGCAUUGUCCCUUUUUAUAUAUUUUUUAUUUUUCUUUUUUUCUUUUUUUGUGGGCUUCUUUGCCCCCCCUUUUUUUAUUUAGGCUUCGUUGGCCUCUUUUUUUUCUUUUUUUUCUUUUCCUUUUUAUUUUUUUGGCACAUUGCUCUAUUAAUGAUGAUCAUCACACUUCUAUUUACUUACAACUCAGUAUUACAACUGGAUACUAGAACAAAGAUAUGACUCUAUAUGAAUGCCUCCGGUGGUGUACUGGGAUGUGCAAUGAUCUAGCAUAGCAAUGACAUCAAAAAAUGGACAAGCCAUGAAAACAUCAUGCUAGCUAUCUUACGAUCAUGCAAAGCAAUAUGACAAUAAAUGCUCAAGUCAUGUAUAUGAUGAUGAUGAAAGUUGCAUGGCAAUAUAUCUCGGAAUGGCUAUGGAAAUGCCAUGAUAGGUAGGUAUGGUGGCUGUUUCGAGGAAGAUAUAAUGAGGCUUAUGUGUGGUAGAGCGCAUCGUAUCACGGGGUUUGGAUGCACCAGCGAAGUUUGCACCAACUCUCGAGGUGAGAAAGGGCAAUGCACGGUACCGAAGAGGCUAGCAAUGAUGGAAGGGUGAGAGUGCGUAUAAUCCAUGGACUCACAUUAGUCAUAAAGAACUCAUAUACUUAUUGCAAAAGUUUAUUAGCCCUCGAAGCAAAGUACUACUAUGCAUGCUCCUAGGGGGAUAGAUUGGUAGGAAAAGACCACCACUCGUCCCCGACCGCCACUCAUAAGGAAUACAAUCAAUAAAUACCUCAUGCUCUGACUUUGUUACAUAACGGUUCACCAUACGUGCAUGCUACGGGAAUCACAAACUCCAACACAAGUAUUUCUACAAUCCACAACUACCCACUAGCAUGACUCUAAUAUCACCAUAUUUAUAUUGCAAAACUAUUGCAAGGAAUCAAACAUAUCAUAUUCAGCGAUCUACAAGUUUAUGUAGGAUUUUAUGACUAACCAAUGACCAAGUCCUGACAUCUCUCUAAAUAGAUAUAAGUGAAGCAAGAGAGUUUAAUUCUUUCUACAAAAGAUAUGCUCAUUCUCUAACAAUUAUAAGUGAAGCAAAAGAGCAUUCUACAAAUGGCGGUUUUCUAUGUGAAGAGAAACAGGCAAUCCAAACUUCAAAUGAUAUAAGUGAAGCACAUGAAGCAUUCUAUAAAGCCAUACUCAAAAGAUUUAAGUGAAGUGCAAUGAGCAUUCUAUAAAUCAACCAAGGACUAUCUCAUACCAGCAGGGUGCAUAAAAUAAAAGUGAAAACUAAAUGCAAAAGACGCUCCAAGACUUGCACAUAUCGCAUGAACGAAACGAAUACGAAAACAUACCGAUACUUAUUGAAGAAAGAGGGGGUGCCUUCCGGGGCAUCCCCAAGCUUAGAUGCUUGAGUCUCCUUGAAUAUUUACUUGGGGUGCCUCGGGCAUCCCCAAGCUUGAGCUCUUGCCUCUCUUCCUCUUCCUCACAUCGAGACCUCCUCGAUCAAACACUUCAUCCACACAAAACUUCAACAGAAAACUCGGUAAGAUUUGUUAGUAUAAUAAAGCAAAUCACUACUCUAAGUACUAUUGAAAACCAAUUCAUAUUUUGUUUUUGCAUUGUGUCUACUUUAAUAUAGCUUUUCCAUGGCUUAAUCCACUGAUAUAUAUUGAUAGAUUCAUCAAAACAAGCAAACUAUGCAUCAAAAACAGAAUCUGUCAAAAACAGAACAGUCUGUAGCAAUCUGAACAUUAACCAUACUUAUGGUACCCCACAAAUUCUACAAAAAUUAUGAAAAAUAAACAAUUUGUAUAGAAAGACAGUUCAGAAGAAAUCAGAACCAUUUGACGUUCCAGUUAAAAAUGUAAAAUCGCGCACUACAGCCAAAGUUUCUGUCCUGCACCGUACAAACCAACAAGCAUUGUGAACAUCCUAAAGGCAAACCUUGGCACAUUAUUUUUAUAAUACAAUGGAAUUCUACAAGGGUAUAAUUAUUUUUUUGAAAAGUUUUUGUAAUUAAGAUUCACAAAGUUUCUGUGAGCAUGAACAAAGUUCAAGGAGCUCUCCCACUUCAACAAUGCUUGUCUCUCUCACUUUCACUUUCUUUUUGAAAAGUUUUGGGUUUCCCUCUUUAUUUUUUGUUUUUAAAUUAUAUGAAAGCACUCAAAAGAGAUAAAUGACUCUCUAAAACUUCCGGGUUAUCUCGCUGGCAGCGCUUUCUUUAAAGCCAUUGAGCUAGGCAUAUAGUGCUCAAGUAGUGAAUCCACCCGGAUCCCAAGGUAUAUCAAAGCCAAUUUUAAUUAACAAUGAUUUAUAAUUUAGUAGUGAGCACAAAGCAAAAUAUAUCAAACAAUGACGAAGUCUAACUCUCUUCCUAUGCAUUGUCAUGUCAUAAAAGAAAAAUUCAUGCACACCAAGUAAAGGCCAAUGCAUAGUAUAAGCAGUUUCUUGCAAUUCUAUCAUAUUGGAAACAUAGAGAGGUGGAGAUAUAGUUCCUCUCUCAUAAUAAUUGCAAGUAGGAGCAGAAAGAACAUGCAUAUUAUAUGUAUCAAAAUCAUCAUGUGUAGUAGUAAAACACAACCCAUCAAUAUAAUCCUUAAUAAGCACAAACUUCUCUGAUAUAGUGUAGUUUGGAGAAUUCAAAAAGAUAAUAGGGCUAUCAUGCGUGGGUGCAAUAGCAACAAUUUCAUGUUUAACAUAAGGAACUAUAGCAAGUUCAUCUCCAUAAGGAUAAUUCAUAUUGGCAUCUUUGCCACAAGCAUAGCAAGCAUCAUCAAAAAGGGAUAUUUCAAGAGAAACAACGGGAUCAUAACAAUCAUCAUAGCAAUCAUCCUUCGGUAAGCAUGAAGGGAAAUUAAACAAUGUAUGAGUUGAAGAGUUACUCUCAUUAGAAGGUGGGCACGGGUAGCUAAUCCGCUCUUCCUCCUUUUGUUCUUCGCUCUCCUCAUCAUCUUUUUCAUUGAAUGAGCUCACAGUUUCAUCAAUUUCUUCUUCCAUAGACUCCUGCAAAAUAUUAGUCUCUUCUUGGACAGCGGAGACUUUCUCAAUAAGAGCAUCAAUAUCGGAAUUAUAUUCAUAAUUCUCAUAGCAAUAUUUCAACAUAGCAAAAUUUGCAAGCCUAUAAACAUCAUCAUCAAAAGCUUCAUACUUUUCAAACAAAGAUUCAAUUUCAUAAGCAGCCUUAAAAGCAACAAAUUCUUCAAUUCGUUCAACAUCAUAGUAAUCAUAUAUACCGUUAGCAUAAGAAGCUAAGCUUUCAUUAUCAUUAAAUUUGCAUGAAAAGGGAAGGUGUGGAGCCUUCAUCCUAGAGCAACAAGUAUAAUCAUAUCUCAAGCAUAGAUCCCGAGCAUACCAACACAACAUAUUAAUUUGAUCCCAUAAUAGUUUUCCUUUUUGUGUCAAGCGAUAAUCCCUAAAGUAUUCACGUUGAUCCAACGUUACUCCCAUUAUAAAGUUGAAUAGGGUUUUCUCAGGAUUAUCAAAGUAGUACAUAAUAUUUUUCACAUAAUGAUCAUCGAGGGUUUUAGGAGGUUCCCCAUCUCCAUGAGCAUCAAGUUCACCUAAUUUUUUUGGUAUUUCAUGUUCCAUAACUAUAACUAAAGAUGAAGAACAACUAAGAACAGCAAAUAAAAAUUACUUAGUGAUAAAGCAAACAAGCACACACGAGAAUAUUCACCCCACGCUAUGACUCUCCGGCAACGGCGCCAGAAGAAGGUCUUGAUAACCCACAAGUGUAGGGGAUCGCAAUAGUUUUCGAUAAGUAAGAGUGUCGAACCCAACGAGGAGCUAAAGGUAGAAUAAAUAUUCCCUCAAGUUCUAUCGACCACCGAUACAACUCUAUGCACGCUUGACGUUCGCUUUACCUAGAACAAGUAUGAAACUAGGAGUACUUUGUAGGUGUUGUUGGAUAGCUUUGCAAGAUAAUAAAGAGCACAUAAAUAUAAACUAGGGGCUGUUUAGAUAAAGAAGCAAUAAAGUAAGUAUUAGUAGAGAGGUUUUUGUCAUGAGAAAGUUAUUUUUCCAAGGCAAUCGAUAACUAGACCGGUAAUCACUAUUGCAAUUUUAUCUGAGGGAGAGGCAUAAGCUAACAUACUUUCUCUUCUUGGAUCAUAUGCACUUAUGAUUAGAACUCUAGCAAGCAUCCGCAACUACUAAAGAUCAUUAAGGUAAAACCCAACCAUAGCAUUAAAGUAUCAAGUCCUCUUUAUCCCAUACGCAAACAACCUACUUACUCGGGUCUGUGCUUCUGUUCACUCACGCCACCCACCAUAAGCAAAUCAUGAACAUAUUGCAAACCCUACAGCGGGAAUCCCUCACGCUUGCACGACACAGAGAGCACCAUAGGACAGCACCAAUAAUAAAACAUGCAACUCAAACCAAUCACGAUCAUCAAUUAACCCAUAGGACAAAACGGAUCUACUCAAACAUCAUAGGAUAGCCAUACAUCAUUGGGAAAUAAUAUAUAGCGUUGAGCACCAUGUUUAAGUAGAGAUUACAGCGGGUAAGAGAGGGGUUACACCGCUGCAUAGAGGGGGGGAAGAGUUGGUGAUGAAGGCGGGGAAGUUGUUGGUGAAGAUCGCGGUGAUGAUGAUGGCCCCCGGCGGCGUUCCGGCGCCACCGGAAUCAAGGGGUAGAGAGUCCCCCUUCUUCUUCUUCUUCCUUGACCUUCUCCUUGGAUGGGAGAAGGGUUUCCCCUCUGGUCCUUGGCUCCCAUGGCGUGGGAGGGGCGAGAGCCCCUCCAUGAUUGGAUCUAUCUCUCUGUCUCUCUCUGUUUCUGCGUUCACCCCUCUGCCUUUUCACCGUUUCGUAUAUAUAUGGAGAUCCGUAACUCCGAUUGGAUUGAAACCUUCGCCCAGAUCUUUUUCCAAAAAAUAGCUUUCUUGCGGCCAAAGAAGGGCGUCAACCGCCUUACGAGUGGCCCAGGAGGGUGGGGGCGCCUAGGGGGGAGGGCGCGCCACCUGUCUCAUGGCCACCUCGGGCACCGUUUCUCGUUGAUUCUUUCUCCGAAAAAUCCCAAAUAUUCCAAAAUAAUUCUCCGUCCGUUUUUAUCCUGUUUGGAUUCCGUUUGAUAUGGGUUUCCUGCGAAACAUAAAACAUGCAAUAGACAGGAACUGGCAUUGGGCACUGGAUCAAUAUGUUAGUGCCAAAAAUAGUAUAAAAAGUUGCCAAAAGUAUAUGAAAGUUGAAUAAUAUUGGCAUGGAACAAUCAAAAAUUAUAGAUGCAACGGAGACGUAUCAGUCACCUAGAAUUGAUAUUGUAAAUUAUCUUGUCCCUAGGUGGCAUGUUAGCUCUACAAGUUGCAAUUUGCUUUUAUGUUUGGUGUGAAGAUGAUGAUGUAUAUCUUUGAAAUCUACCACCGGGAAUUAUUUCCAAAUACUUGUCUCUUGACAAUUGGUAACCAUUUAUGUGAUAGAAAUUGUUGAUCAACUUUACAUUGGCCUUUGGUUUUAUUUGCCUUAUCUCUUUCAUAGGAUUGUUUCAACUCCCCCGUUCUUCCGUGCCACUUGUGGAUCAUGUUUAUUUCUUGAUCUCGUCUAGUGCGUCUAUGGAUAUAGUGAAAGAGGUGAUCCCAUCUUGUGCAUUUUGCAUUCAAAUGCAAAUUCUAUAAUUCACAACUCUUGGGGGAGCUAUCCUAUUUUCUUUAGAACACUCAUCUUGUGAUCCUUACCAAGUGUGUGUUGGUGGAAGACAAGUCGUUUCUUUUUGGUACUGUGUGCCACCAUGAAACUUUGUAGAGGUCUUGGUUCGUUAGGAAUGAGUUUGGUAUCUUCCUUUUAGUGUGUAUCAAUGGAUAUAUCAUUCUUCGAUGUAUCUUUUAUUUGGUAUCCUUCAAGUCAUAAGUUCUUCUUUGAGUAUCUUAUUUUCACUUGGUAUCUUUUCUUUUGGGAUCCUAUCAACCAUGUUUUGAUUUGGUCCUUGAAGUCUAGAGCAUGCAUAUUUACCUUAUGUACAUUCUUUGGCAUGCUUUCUUUAUUUGACCCAAUAUAUAAGGGAAACUCCACCAAGUCUCAAAUUGGCUAAGAUGUGCAUGAAAUUCUAUUUCAUAUCUAUAUGCACAUAUUUAUGUGGAGUUUGUCAUAUGUAUUGUUGGUUUCCUAACUCUUUGGUCCCAAUGAGUUUGGCUACCAAUUUUUACUACCACUCUAGAGUGGUACUACCGCGGCUACUACCGUGGCUACUUCCGCUCCGAACCAAAAUCUCGUAUUAACUCCAGCGGUGGUAGGCACAUAUGUAUUUUUUUAGUACCGCUCGCAAGCAGUAGUACCGCUACCCUUAGCGGUAGUACUGUGAGGACGAGCGGUAGUACUGCUCCGGCGGUUCUACUGGCCUUUUACCUCCUCGCUGUUGUUUUUCAAAGGGCUUCCACCGCCCUGGCGGUAGUACCGCUCCCAUGAGCAGUAGUACCGCUCUGUGCGGGCAUUGAGCAUAAUGGUUGGAUUUUUCCCCACCUACAAAAAGGGGGUCUUCUUCCCCAAUGAACCUUAUCCUUUGGGCUCGUGUUCUUCCCCCAUUGUUGACCUUCUUCGAGCUUGCUAUCUCUCAAUCCCUCCAUGGAUUCUUGCUUGUUUUUUUUGGGGGGGGAGAGAGAGAGGAGAUCUAGAUCCACAUUUCCACCAAUCACUUUCUCCUCUAUGUGAGGGGAACCCCUUGGCUUAAGAUCUUGGAGUUCUUGGUGUUCUCCUUCUUGUUCUUCCUCUCACUUUCCUCCCUAGCAUUAGUUCUUUGGUGGGAUUUGGGAGAGAAGGACUUGGGCACUCCGUGUGCCCUUGCCAUUGCAUUUGGUUCGGUUUGAGUUCUCCACGGUGAUAUGUGGAAGUUACAAGUUGAGAAGCUUAUUACUCUUGGGUGCUUGGUACCCUUGAGCUUGUUCCUCUUGGGGUGCUUCGGUGCCCUAGAUGGUUGGUGGUGUUCGGAGCUCAAUCAUUGUGGUGUAAAGCUCCAGACAAGCGUCGGGGUGUCCAAUUAGGUUGUGGAUAUCACCCCGAGCACUUUGACGGGUUCCGAUGACCGCCCCCAAGGGUUGCCAAAGUGUAUGGGUUCAGUGAUGGCCCCCAAGGGUUGCCAUUUGUACGGGUUCGGUGACCGCCCUCAAGGGUCCCUUAGUGGAAUCACGACAUCUUGCAUUGUGCGAGGGCGUGACGAGAUUAUGGUGGCCCUAGUGGCUUCUUGGGGAGCAUUGUGCCUCCACAUCGCUCCAAAUGGAGAUUAGCAUCCACAAGGGUGUGAACUUUGGGAUACAUCGUCGUCUACGCGUGCCUCGGUUAUCUCUUACCCGUGCCCUUUACUUAUGCACUUUACUUUGUGAUAGCCAUAUUGUUUCUUGUCAUAUAUCUUACUAUCACUUAGUUGUUUAACUUGCUUAGCAUAAGUUGUUGGUGCGUAUAGGUGAGCCUAGUUGUUGUAGGUUUUGUGCUUGACAAAUUAACCGCUAGGUUUAUUCCACAUUUGUUCAAGCCUAAACCGNNNNNNNNNNNNNNNNNNNNNNNNNNNNNNNNNNNNNNNNNNNNNNNNNNNNNNNNNNNNNNNNNNNNNNNNNNNNNNNNNNNNNNNNNNNNNNNNNNNNNNNNNNNNNNNNNNNNNNNNNNNNNNNNNNNNNNNNNNNNNNNNNNNNNNNNNNNNNNNNNNNNNNNNNNNNNNNNNNNNNNNNNNNNNNNNNNNNNNNNNNNNNNNNNNNNNNNNNNNNNNNNNNNNNNNNNNNNNNNNNNNNNNNNNNNNNNNNNNNNNNNNNNNNNNNNNNNNNNNNNNNNNNNNNNNNNNNNNNNNNNNNNNNNNNNNNNNNNNNNNNNNNNNNNNNNNNNNNNNNNNNNNNNNNNNNNNNNNNNNNNNNNNNNNNNNNNNNNNNNNNNGUAGAAUUACCUUCCACACUAUGUUUCCAACUUGAAAAGUUUUCAAAUUGACCUUUUUACUGUAAGCUCUUUCCACCCUUAACUUGUCCCUCUCUAUGGGUUUUAAACCAACCAAGCAUUUAUCACCGACUCAACCAAAAUUGUCCAUCAUCAAGUUAUAAAUUCCACCGCCAAUAAGUCAUUUUGUUUGGAUAAUUUCACAACAUUCAAUUUACCUCUAUGGGAAAACAGUUUUUCCCCAUACGCAAGCUCAUAUGAGCUUACCUCUUAGCACCUUGCCAUGAGAUUGUACGACCCACAAAUCCUUGGAAAAUAAUUCAUGCCACCUCCUUGGUUCAAUAUUUUUCUUGAUGAACCUGAUUAUAUAUUUUGUUGCUAGACUCAUCGUCCAUUGGUUUGGACAUAAUAUGGAGAGAAAUUGAGCAACUUUAUCUUAUAAGAUUCAACAAAUUCUCUCACUUGAUAUGACAUGAAUGACAAACCUUCAUCCGUUGUUAAUGUUUGAGAAAUGUCGAAUCUAUGGAUAAUGUGCUUAAUUAUGAAUUGAUUUACCUUUAUACAUGUCAUAUUUUGAGAGGUAUUACUUCAGACCAUUGGUGAAAUAAUUAGUUGCCAGCAACAUGAACCGAUACCCUUUUGAAGAAGGAUGAAUUUCUCUAAUAGAGUAUAAUCCUCAAACUCUAAAAGGACACAACUUGAUAAUGUGAUGUAACAUAACAGCAGGAGCCAAAUAUAAUCAAACUUUUGACAAGCUUCACAUCCUUUAGAAUACCUCGAGCAAUCAUUAAUUAUUAGCGACCAAUAAAACUCAUCACGUCGCAAUACCCACUCCAUUUUGUGGGCUGACUAAUGAGUGCCACAAAUGCCUUCAUGUACCUCUCCCGCAACAACUCUUGCUUGGUCCUCACCCAAGCACUUCAAAAGAAUACCGUCAACCAUUGAUUUGUGAUAAUGGCCAUCAUGUAUUAAUGUAUACAUGAAAGCCUUCGUGUCCACCCUUUUACUAAAGGCUAUAUUAUAACUUAUUUUUUCAUGGGACAUUGGUUGAUCGAUUUCAUGGUUUUUUAAAAAAAUAGUAUUUUAAUUGUAAAACAAAGUCGACAAUAUCGCACAAUUCCCAUGAGAAUCCUAAAUUUAUAUGUCAUAUACGAUUGAAUGAAGCAAGCAUUUGAUGGACACACACUCCGCUUACAAGAAUACUACCGCACAUUGCCUCCUAUCCUCACUAAUGAUGGCCAAGUAUACGAGGAACUGUGUCUAAGGACUUGUUCUAAUUUCUUUUGCCAUUGUGUUGUCUUUUCCCUGACAUGGAUGCUCAUAUGGUAAUUAAUCAACAAAUCAAAGUUUUUUCUUUUUUCUUUUCAAUGCGAAAUAGAUUGUUGACUUAGAUUUGUUAUGUCGUUUUGUUAUUGACUGUAUUUGGUUUUCUUAACCAAAAAAACAAAAUUCUGCCUAUACAUAUAUAUGCUAUAGUCCAUGCAUGUUGUAUAUGUUAUUGAGAGGCUAAGUGUAUUCUUUUUUAUAUGCAUGUUAGGGGAAAUCAUAAGUGAAAAUGGAAACAAAAAGAUCACGAUGGUCUAAGUAACCCACGCCCCUUGUUAUAAGGAUGAGCACAAUGUUGUAGGCUGACAAUUCUGCUGCAAAUACAUUGACAUCGACAACAAAGGCUGUCACCUCGCUUGAGUAACAAGGGCUAUCAACAGCCUGAAUAAUUAACACAACAAUUUCCGCAUAUUCAUCUCGUUUAGUAGCAACAUAUAGUAGGUGCCAAUUUCAUUAUUCAAAUACAUCGUCUUUCAAGGCGUGGUAAACAAUGGGCAGUACAUACAAAGUGAAGAUAACAUUCACACAAGUCGUGUCAUGAUGCUUGGUCUAUACCUGGGAGCAAAUUAAUUUUGACUGGAUCCUUCUUAGUCGUGUCAUGAUGCGCCUUGCAAUGCUCACACGCGCCCGUGCGGGGUGGGCACCAGCACGAGCGGCGUCUUGAGGAGGGGGAUAACCUUGCCUUGCUCCUCCACACUCACCAUCGUCCCAUCCGGGAGCGCCCACUCGAAGCAGCACAACAGGUUCGCCAGCGUGAACUCCACGGUGGCCACACUCAUGGACAGGGCGGGACACAUGCGCCGCCCUGCGCCGAACGGUAUCAGCUCGAAAUUCGCGCCCUUGAAGUCUAUCUCGCUCGCCUCGAACCUAUCUGGCUUAAACUCUUCCGGGUCAUCUGGCCAGCUCAUCGGGUCUCUGCCAAUGGCCCAGGCGUUGACAUAGAUCCUUGUCUUUGCUGGCACGUCGUAGCCACCAAUCUGGAUGUCCCGCAUGGCCUCCCUAGGCAACAACAUCGUCGCCGGCGGGUGCAGCCGCAGUGUCUCUUUGACCACCAUCUUGAGGUAUCCUAUCUUGGGCAUGUCGUUCGGUCGCACCCUCUCGUUGCUGCCCACCACGUCCCUGAUCUCCUUUUGCACCUUCUUCAGCAGAUGGGGCUUUCGGAUUAGCUCCGCCAUUGCCCAAAGGAUCGUCACCGAGGCCGCGUCCGAGCCACCAAUGAACGUACCCUGCAUGUAUGCAUGGCCGUAGUGUCUUAAGUUACUUCUCCUUUUUUUCCUUCAUCAAGGCAUGACAGGAUCUAGACACAACUAGUAAAACGUACAAAGAUGAGGCCCUUGACAUGGUCUCUCGUGAUACCGAGCGUGGUGCCACGGUUGUCCUUCCAGAGGUCGACGAGGCGGUCGACGAGGUCACCGCCGCCGUUCUGAGGCUUAACGCGCCGAGGGUCAAGAUGCUGCUCAAUGAUGAUCUCGAAGAAGGCAUCAAGAUGCUUGAAGAUCCGCUCGCGGCGAGCGGUGAGACCGGUGAUUCGGUCGAUUAGGCGUCCGAUGAUGUUGGGGAAGUAGUCCUCAGCGGAGAAGCUUGCCUGCGCAUGUGUGGCCUCCUCGAGCACGUGCUCCAAGUUCUUGUGGUGUGGGAACUUGUCGUUGUUGUACAUGUCUCCAAAACCCAGCAUGCCGAUGAUGCCAUCGGCCAGGCUGAAGACGUGCUCCUUCAGGGCUACCGGCUCUCCGACCAAGCCGCUCAAGGUGCUCAUCAGUCUCUCCACCUAAUAGACCAAGGUAUAAUCCAUUAGAGUGUUUUUUUCUACCAUACGCGCCGCGUGGAACAUAUCAACCACCCCUUAUUUUAUCUCAAGCUAGGCUAUCUCACCAAGUUAGCACACACAUGUUGGCUUCUGUUUGAAAAAAAAUUAGAUGCUAAUAUAUUUUCUAACAAAUGUUUGACUUACAUUCUCGAGUCUCCACAUAAGUGGUCUGUCUAGGACACAUCUAGAUGUGUUAUGUCACAUCUAAGCUGAUUUUCAUUUUGCUUGUGGUCUUUUUUUUUGUCUAAGUUUUUUUUCUUAUUGCCGCAUUAUAUAUUUGUGAAAGGUUAGAUGUGACAUUUUUAAAAAACAUCUAGAUAUGAAUUAGACAAACUGUAACUGUUACUGCCUCCGAUUCUGUUGAAUAAAGCGCGCACGUGUUCUAAAUUUUACAUGAACCAUUAAUAUGAACUAAUAAAGCAUAGGGUAUGUUACUUAUUAUAUAUACCACUAUUUUUUUCAAAUAUGAAUCAACAGCAUAGCUUUUCUCACAAAUAAGUGUGUAACGCACAUUUGGUUGGUUAAACUGAUGGUCAAAAUUAAAUUUUAAGUUCGUGCGUGCUUUACUCAUUGAAAUGGAGGAAGUACGUUUCUCUUAGAAGGACUAGCAUUAGUUGUGUGUGCGUGCUUCGUAUACCUGAUGCUGGCGUGCGUUCCAUGCAGCUUUAGCGUGGCGCACGCCAAAGAGCUCGACCACGAGGAACUUGCGCAUCGCGUGCCAGUAGGCGCCGUAGGGCGCGAACCCGACAUUGUUGAGGCCGUAGGACAGACGCUUCAUCCCUGGGGACAUGGGGCGGGUGCAGCAAUCCUCAUCGUGGGUCUUCAUCACCUCUUGCGCUGCCUCAGCUGACGACACCACCACCGUCGGCACCGUGCCGAGCUGCAGCUGCAUCACUGGCCCGUGCCGCCGCGCCAGAUCCCGUAGGCUCCGGUGCGGCAGCUGGCUUACCUGGUGCAGGUUCCCCAGGAACGGCACUUGGGCCGGGCCCGGCGGCAGCCUGAGCCCCUUGUUGCUCAGUUUUCUCCUCGUCAAGAGCCCGAGGGAGACGAGUGCUAGGAGGAGGAGGAGGAGCUGCCAUUGUUGCGGUGGGGAGAGGACCAAGCUGAGUGAGAUGGCCAUUGAUUUUCUUAACUGUGUUUGGUGAUGUUGUGCUGCUGCUUCUAAACUUUGUUUCGCGUCCAAUUGAUUGUCUUAUUUAUGGUGUGUGCAUCCGCGUGUUAUUAACGAGCAAAGAUUUAUUCAACGUGUAAGUCAUGCAGAGUCCAAGCAUAUCAUCUUUCUCCUUUGUCGAAAGAUAUAUCAUCUCUUUCUCUCAAUUUCACUUUUGUACUGAUUGACUGAUCGGAUGCACCAUACACCGGUAUCUUUUCUCUUAAAAAAAUAGCCAAGUGGCCCACGCACGCAAAUGCGCCGGCUAUGUCUUAGACAUCUUUUAUUUAUUUUAAAAAUGUUAGAAUUUAUAUACCAAGUGCACGUACACUCCGAAAGCCAUACAAAUUCCUUGAAUUGGAUGCAAAAUGGCAUAAUUAUUUGACCUUCUAUUAUAGUAAUAUAUGUAUAUGUAUAGUACAUGUCAUUCAGAAGUACAUACAAUGAGGACGCGGAUUUUUAGGAUAUGGUUCUAUGCGAUGCCGUAAUCUCAGUCGUCCACGUUCGCAUCUAGAUUACUAUUCCCUCCGAUCCAAAUUACUUGUCGCUCAAAUGGACGUAUCUAGCACUGAAAUACAUCUAGAUACAUCCAUUUGAGCGAUAAGUAAUAUGGAUCGAAGGGAGUAAUUAAUAUAGUGUUUGCUGCAAUACAAACAGUGUUGCUCAAUAAUGCAUUGGAAUACGCUUUUCUUUACCGGGCAGGAGUGGGCCUCAAAGCUUUAAAUUCGUAUGCAUACUACUUUGUCGUUUAGUCAAUCGGUAAUAUUUGUUGGGUGCAUUGAUGACCUGCCCACUCAUUUACAAUCGUCUACGCGGACAAUUAAACAAAUGUGGCAGCAUGUGAGAGAUUUAUGGUGCUUGGCUUGUGAGAGGCACGCUAAUUUGUAUGGUUCCUGUUUUGUGUGUGAGGUACCAUGCAUCUUAAUCAUGUGGUAAGCACAACAAUUGGGACAAAAAUGAAUUCAUUUCUAGUGUUGAUUGUAUAUCAGCAAAACAACAUCAAAAUGGAUUGUUGAGUGAUAAGCAUAACAUGACACAGAUUGUGCGAUAGGUGAGGACGCACCACAUACUGGAAGAUACAUGGGCAAAUGUGGAUAAAAAAGUAAGAAAACUAGCUAUUGGGGGGUUCUGAUUAUUUGUUCUAAGUGGACUAGUCUAAUUUUAUGUAGUGCACAUAUUUUUGAAAAUUAAAAUCUUGGAUUCCUGAAAUGUUAAAUUAUUUAUUGGAAUUUAGGAACAUUGUUUUUAGUUGCAAUUUAGGAAUAUUAAUCGUGUUUGUGCACAUGCCUAGCUAACCUGACAUGGAGAUAGAACUAAGCUGAUAUCGCAUAGUUAAAAGUUCACACUAAUUCAUCCAAAAAAGAAAAAUAGUUAUUGGUGCUCUGAUUAUUUGUUCUAGGUGGACUAGUUUAAUCUUAUGCAGUGGACAUAUUUUUCAAAAUUUAAAUCUUGGAUUCUUAAAAUUGUAAAUUAUUUGCUGCAAUUUAGGAACAUUUUUAGUUGCUAUUUAGGAAUAUUAAUCAUGUAUAUGCACAUGGCUGACCUGACAUGGAGAUAGACCAAACCUUAUCUAGCGUAGUUAAAAGUUUACACUAAUUAUUCUUAAAAGGAAAUUAGCUAUUUGGGGCUUUGAUUAUUUAUUCUAGGUGGACUAGUUUAAUCUUAUGCGGUGGGUAUAUAUUUAAAAAUUAAAAUCAUGCAUUCCUGAUUUUUCAAAAUAUUAAUUGCAAUUUAGGAACAAUUUUGUAGUUGCAAAUUAGAAACAUUAAUCAUGUGUACGCAUAUGCCUGACCUGACAUGGAGAUAGACCUAAGCUGGUCUAGCAUAGUUAACAGUUCAGACUAAUUCAUCUAAGAAAAUGUUCAGACCAAUUAGCAGACUACACAUUUUCGUUGCAGCUAUAGAGGGUGAUGCACUAGCAAUAUGUAGUGGAGCAGCACACAUUAAGACGAGGGCAGUGUGGUGCAUUAAUCCUCACCUGUGCCUAGUAAAUGUGAUGACACUAUAAUACCUCACUUUCCAACUUCAACGACGCUGGAUGGAGAGAGAUGGUGGUGCAGGCUUCAAAUGCAGUUAACGUUCCCAACCUGUGCCUAGUAAAUGAGGUCUGCUCCUAGUAAAUGAGUUGGGUCACGUUUAUCAAGCAUGUGGCCCCUUAUGCAUUGAUUGUUUUGUGGAAUAGAGAUUCAAUACUGCAAGGAGAAAUAUUCAAUAUACGUGAUAUGCUGCUUAUGGUAUGAAUACGAUACAAAUCUGAGAGAAAUGGAUGGUGAGAUAAAGACCUCGCGUGGCGCCAUGUUCACCUAUGCAUUUUUGAUACAAUGACUACUAAUAAAUACUAAAUUGUUUACCUUUAGAAGUGUAAAAAAACAUAGUUUGGAACUGGAAUCUGAGUGAUCCUCCGAUAUCGUCUGCUGCCCACUACCGAGAUGGAGUAAAGAUGAAGCGAGGCUGGUGGACCGAGAGAUGGAUGUCGCCGGAUGCCUGCGUCGCGUCGUCGGCCUGCCCGUGCCGCCGUGCGAUCAGGCGACGGCGGUCUGGCUGGCCGCCAUGCCGAACAGAACUCGGGAUGAGAUUGGGAGGCACCGGUUUGUCUCGUGUGAUUUGUUUUUGGCCAGUACUAAGCGCCGGUGCGCCGGCCCAAAUUUGGGCCGGUCGUAUCCUGUACGUCUGAUUAAAACUCUUUUAACCGUCAGAUUCUUUCGUCCCCACCACGCCGUUCUUUACUCUGCAAAUCACGCGAGUGCCAUGGACGAGCUACUUGACCCGUCGGAUCUCCACCGCUCGCCGCCUCUCUCCGCAGCUCCAAUUCGUCGUCGCUGCACACCCUCCUCAUCCCCCGUCGUUUCAGCACCACCCCCCGACGGAUGCAUCUUUGCCAAACGUCGGACGCAGCAACUCGCACUGGCUCCGCCCAUCACAGCACAACAUCGACGCCGCAGUCGACCUGCACCACCUGAUUCCACCAAAAAACACAUCUCAGCCCAAAAAAGAACUCCGGUGGGUAGUUGCAGCAAAACCAAAAAUUGGUUCCAACAGAAAAACAAAGGUUUCCAGCAAAUCAACUUGAGCACCUAGCAAACCCAGUAAUUUGCUUGAAGCAAAUUAAAUCACGAUUCCAGCAAAAUAUUAAUAUGGUUCCAGCAAAGAUGCGUCGCCGCCUCCUGAUCGUAGCAAAUAAUCUCAAGCAACAAGAAACUCGUCGCAGCAAAAUCAUUUGCCGGCUCUAGCAAAAAAAAAA